AGUGAACGCUGGCGGUAGGCCUAACACAUGCAAGUCGAACGGCAGCACAGUAAGAGCUUGCUCUUACGGGUGGCGAGUGGCGGACGGGUGAGGAAUACAUCGGAAUCUACUCUUUCGUGGGGGAUAACGUAGGGAAACUUACGCUAAUACCGCAUACGACCUACGGGUGAAAGCAGGGGAUCUUCGGACCUUGCGCGAUUGAAUGAGCCGAUGUCGGAUUAGCUAGUUGGCGGGGUAAAGGCCCACCAAGGCGACGAUCCGUAGCUGGUCUGAGAGGAUGAUCAGCCACACUGGAACUGAGACACGGUCCAGACUCCUACGGGAGGCAGCAGUGGGGAAUAUUGGACAAAGGGCGCAAGCCUGAUCCAGCCAUACCGCGUGGGUGAAGAAGGCCUUCGGGUUGUAAAGCCCUUUUGUUGGGAAAGAAAAGCAGCAGGUUAAUACCCCGCUGUUCUGACGGUACCCAAAGAAUAAGCACCGGCUAACUUCGUG
rnacentral:rRNA from 1 species